rnacentral:lncRNA from 1 species
AUUUUACUAAACAAUAUGCCAAGAGGUAACAGGUACACGAUAAAUUAGUUGAGAUAUAUUGUUGGCGUGAUACUGAACCCAAGAUUUGAUUUUAGCCGUUGAUUUUUUAGCCAAAGAGGGGAUACCCAUCCUAUUACCAUUCUAAUAUCGUGAUCGUAUUUGUCAUUUUUGCGGUUAUUUGUCCCAUUCCAAAGAUGGUAGGGUAUUGCUUCACAACUAUUAAA